rnacentral:tRNA from 2 species
GCCGGAGUGGCGAAAUCGGUAGACGCAGUUGAUUCAAAAUCAACCAUCGAGAGAUGUGCCGGUUCGAGUCCGGCCUCCGGCA